GUGCUGCUGGUUUGGCCAAACACAUCUCCUGCACGUCAUAUAGCAAGUUGGUGUGGAAAUGGGGCAAAUGCCUAUGAGGGGGCAACUUUAAGACUAUAAGAGGCCUUGCCAUCAAUGAUGAAUUCCACUUUGGACUUAAAUGGUUAUUAAUUCCAAGGCGCAUAUCAAAUAAUUGUGUGCAUUUAUGUUUUAAUGUUUUUUUUUUUAAGUUAUGUAAUUGUUUUAUUGUAGUCUUUUACCUAUUUGAAAUAAAAUAUAAUUUAUGUAAUAAA